GCGCAGCUUUUCCCCCGCUCAACUCCUCGUUCCCUCUACGCAGCCCGGGAAGAAGCUCUCUAGUCGGAGGAGCCAUGGUACAAGAAAAUGGCCGAAGACGGAGUUGCCGAGGGCGGUAGCGACGGCCGCUGCUCGCUCCGCUCCGCCGUGCGCCGCCCUGAGCGUCGACGGCCUCGGCAGCAGCCCACGUCUCCCCGCGAUCGCUUCCCCGGCGCCUACCACCGCUUUUUCGACCUAAAGUUCUUCGCCUUUACCAGGGGAUCCACCCAUCCUUCCAUCCCUAAGCCUCGCGUUUACCAACUUCUUCUCGCUUCGUGCUUCUUGAUCUGUUCCUGCUCCCUUCUUUAACCGAGGCCACGGUAAUCCUUCGUCCAGGCACUGGGAAUGAAUUUCUGGAACUGUGGGGACAUGCAGUGAGGCUUGAUUUGGUACUCUUAAUGAGGGCACCUAUACCCUUACAAUGGAUGCUGGAUGAUGACGAGUAUGCUUCCACAUGAAUCAAUAUUCAUUGAGAUGACCUAUAAUCCUAUCAAUUGGUCUGACAAAAGCUUUUUUAGGUACUUGAAAUGAAUGGGUUAGGAACUGUUGCGGUGUGCAAUGAGGCUUGAUUUGGCCAGUAAAAGGGGCACAUGCACCCUUAUGCAGGCACUUGAAAGGAAUUGUUGGAACGUGUGGUGUGGCUUGAUUUCGCCUGUGAAAGAGAGACCUAACCAAAUGGCUGUGUUGCACCCUGGUGUUUCCUCGAGCUCCAACAUACGAACACAUUGUAUCAGCGUUGGUGCUGGUGAUUGAAUUAGGGACCGAAGCUUCUAGAAAGAGCUGGGAUGAGAAUGUGGGGCUGAAGGGGAGGAAUACUUCUAAAUCAAGGCAAGAUGGAGACUAAACUUGUAAUACCCCAGAAAAGGAAGAAAAAAAAAAGAGGGGUGGACGGGCCGGCCCGAAAAGAUUGGGCCCAUCCACCAUAUACGAUCGUGCCCUAGGCACGAUCGUGGGAGAAGAAACACACACACACACAAAAAAAAGGGGCAGCGGCGACGUUGGAGGGAUCGAUCGCCGGAGGACACCGAGCGCCGGAGGAGACCGAGCAUCGGAGCCGAGAACUGGCCGAUCGUGGAGGAAGCUUUAAAGCUCUUCCUCCCUUCAAUGGAAAUCUCCACAAAUCGGGUGAAGAAGACCUCUCCCUCAUGGAAUUUCCUCCGCCAAUUCCUCGCCGGAAAGGUCGCCGGAGCACCCUGUCGAGCUGAGGUAAGCGUAGAUC